GGUUCUUACAUCUUAGAGUUUACCAACAUGUAUAUAUUUGUGUUUGCAUUGAGCAUAUUGUAGUGAAUACAUGUGGACACAUCUUUUGUGUGUGUCUCUCUCUGUGAGAAAGAAAGAAAGAAAAGAAAGAAAAGGAAAGAAAGAAAAAAAGAAGGAAAGAAAGAAAAAAGGAAGGAAGGAAGGAAGGAAGGAAGGAAGGAAGGAAGGAAGGAAGACAAAAAAAGCAACAAUGAAAGAACAAACAAACAAAAGCAGACUUUUUUGAACUCAAUUAAAGCCCCUUUUGUUCCUCUAAGAAAAGAAGAUGUGCUGAAAUACGAACAGAUAAAAAAAUAAAAGUGUCAGGAUUUGACUGGAUUUGUAAAAAGAUGAGAACAUCAUUCAGCCAUCAUCAGAUAAGUUACUUCCUGCAGAAGAUGGGAACAUGUACAAUGAUCUACAGCCAGAUGUUAAACACAGAGAGACCUUGGAAUGCAUAUCUAUAAACUGGUAUCUCCAUCAAAUCUGUCUUCUUGCAGCUCAGAACCUCAAGAAAGAGGAGGCAAAAUGAGUGAGGCACAGGAAAUGCCUCUAAAUCAAAGUUCAUAUGAAUUUAUAGAGAUAGUAUAGCAGUAGUCACAGGACCUACCUGGGUCUUCAACAGGUCGUAUACAUAUAGACUAUAGCAUAUAUCCUUAGGAAAAUUUUGCAUAUCCUGAAUGUGUAAAAA
rnacentral:lncRNA from 1 species